AGCGAACGCUGGCGGCAGGCUUAACAUAUGCAAGUCGAACGCCCCGCAAGGGGAGUGGCAGACGGGUGAGUAACACGUGGGAACGUACCCUUUGGUUCGGAAUAACUUGGGGAAACUCAAGCUAAUACCGGAUAAGCCCUUAUGGGGAAAGGUUUACUGCCGAAGGAUUGGCCCGCGUCGGAUUAGCUAGUUGGUGAGGUAAUGGCCCACCAAGGCGACGAUCGGUAGCUGGUCUGAGAGGAUGAUCAGGCACACUGGGACUGAGACACGGCCCAGACUCCUACGGGAGGAAGCAGGGGUGAAAAUUGGACAAUGGGGGCAACCCUGAUCCAGCCAUGCCGCGUGAGUGAUGAAGGCCUUAGGGUUGUAAAGCUCUUUUACCCGGGACGAUAAGGACUGUACCGGGAGAAUAAGCCCCGGCUAACUUCGUGCCAGCCGCAGCGGUAA
rnacentral:rRNA from 1 species